rnacentral:rRNA from 1 species
CCGGAGAAUGUUAUCACGGGAGACACACGGCGGGUGCUAACGUCCGUCGUGAAGAGGGAAACAACCCAGACCGCCAGCUAAGGUCCCAAAGUCAUGGUUAAGUGGGAAACGAUGUGGGAAGGCCCAGACAGCCAGGAUGUUGGCUUAGAAGCAGCCAUCAUUUAAAGAAAGCGUAAUAGCUCACUGGUCGAGUCGGCCUGCGCGGAAGAUGUAACGGGGCUAAACCAUGCACCGAAGCUGCGGCAGCGACGCUUAUGCGUUGUUGGGUAGGGGAGCGUUCUGUAAGCCUGCGAAGGUGUGCUGUGAGGCAUGCUGGAGGUAUCAGAAGUGCGAAUGCUGACAUAAGUAACGAUAAAGCGGGUGAAAAGCCCGCUCGCCGGAAGACCAAGGGUUCCUGUCCAACGUUAAUCGGGGCAGGGUGAGUCGACCCCUAAGGCGAGGCCGAAAGGCGUAGUCGAUGGGAAACAGGUUA